UACUAGCUGAGAUGGCUCACCAGGACAGA
rnacentral:piRNA from 1 species